UACUAGAGUAGCACUCGCAUAUCAAUAAGCGGAGGAAAAGAAACUAACAAGGAUUCCCUUAGUAACGGCGAGUGAAGCGGGAAGAGCUCAAAUUUGAAAUCUUCAAGGUUCUACCUUGACGAAUUGUAGUUUAAAGAAGUGUUUUCUGUUGGAGUUUUGGUAAAAGUUCUUUGGAAUAGGACAUCAUAGAGGGUGAGAAUCCCGUAUUUGACCAUUAUUUCCAACUUUGUGAUACACUUUCAAAGAGUCGGAUUGUUUGGGAAUGCAGUCCAAAAUGGGUGGUAAAUUUCAUCUAAAGCUAAAUAUUGGCGAGAGACCGAUAGCGAACAAGUACCGUGAGGGAAAGAUGAAAAGAACUUUGAAAAGAGAGUUAAACAGUACGUGAAAUUGUCAAAAGGGAAGCGUUUGACACCAGUGUUGUUUUUCCGAAAAUCAAUUAAGAAUGUUUUAUUUUUGAGGAGUUAUGACUUCAUCGGCUUGCUUCUCUCUUUAUGGAACUUUCUUAAUGCACUUUUCGGUUAACAAGUCCACAUCAAUUUCUUUUGUUGUAAAAGGGUAUGAGGAAGGUGGCUUUCUUUUCGGAGAAAGUGUUUAUAGCCUUGUGCCUCUGCAAUCGGAGAGAUUGAGGUCUGCAGCGUAGAUCCUUCGGGGUUAGAUACAUUGGUGCUAAGCUAUAGCCUUGUAUAGACAACUUGUUGACUAUGCUCAGUCAUGUAGCUUACUCGCUGAUGCUAUUUUACCUACGCUUAGGAUGUUGAAGAUGUAGCACAUCAU
rnacentral:rRNA from 1 species